rnacentral:rRNA from 1 species
CACCGCGGUUAUACGGGAGGCCCAAGCUGACAGUCACCGGCGUAAAGAGUGGUUAAUUAACCCUAAAAACUAAAGUCGAACGUCUUCAAGGUUGUUUAACACAUUCGGAGGCAUGAAGCUCAAUCACGAAAGUGGCUUUACACUCUUUGAACCCACGAAAGCUAGGGAA